rnacentral:rRNA from 1 species
GACGAACGCUGGCGGCGUGCCUAAUACAUGCAAGUAGAACGCUGAAGAGAGGAGCUUGCUCUUCUUGGAUGAGUUGCGAACGGGUGAGUAACGCGUAGGUAACCUGCCUUGUAGCGGGGGAUAACUAUUGGAAACGAUAGCUAAUACCGCAUAACAAUGGAUGACACAUGUCAUUUAUUUGAAAGGGGCAAUUGCUCCACUACAAGAUGGACCUGCGUUGUAUUAGCUAGUAGGUGAGGUAAUGGCUCACCUAGGCGACGAUACAUAGCCGACCUGAGAGGGUGAUCGGCCACACUGGGACUGAGACACGGCCCAGACUCCUACGGGAGGCAGCAGUAGGGAAUCUUCGGCAAUGGGGGCAACCCUGACCGAGCAACGCCGCGUGAGUGAAGAAGGUUUUCGGAUCGUAAAGCUCUGUUGUAAGUCAAGAACGGGUGUGAGAGUGGAAAGUGCACACUGUGACGGUAGCUUACCAGAAAGGGACGGCUAACUACGU